GUCGGGGUGGAUCCAGCGGGGUCGGGCAGACGUUUCCCCCACUUGUUUCUAUGAGAAACAAAUAGGUACACACGGGGCUCCAACAAGAGGGCAUGGCCAGGAACAGAAAUGACUCCAGUGGAAGUGGAGGUGGACAUUUUGUCCCUAUUGAUUCAUACAGGAAGCAAAUAGGAAGGCAGAACUCCAAGAAUGCAAGAGAAGACAUCAAGCGUGCAAAAUUGUCACACCAGAAAAAAGAAAAUGCUACUCAAACAUAUAAGGACGUCUUUUCGAUGGUGUUCGGCCUGUUCAUCAUGGUGGUAUCGGUUUAUGCGCUAUUCUACGCUCUUCUUUCCAAGUAAAAUUUGGUUGCGUGGUGUCUGCUUUGGCGGCUCGGGAAAUGCAUUGAGUUUGUGCAACGCCCAUGAAAAGCGGGUUUUGGUCAGUUUGUUGUUUCUUGGCGGUUCAGAGAUGGGGCGUUUUGAAGGUGUUGCUUGUUCGCGGACCGAUGGUGGGAUGAUUCCCUGUGCUACAAAAAUAGAAGGUAUGUGGAUGGAAUGUCCACCAGAUGCGUGUGUCUGAUGUCUAAUGCCCAAUAGGCAUCAAACUGGCUAAAUAUCGACUGUGAUGCUAACGAGCCUAUGCCAGCUUGUAAAUCCAUCAGCCUCCUGAGCGUGGGGCAAUAUUGUAACAGGCUGGUACAACAUUGGGUCCAUUGAUGUGUUGUGCACUUGCGCACUGGUCUCGAUGUCAAGUCUUUUUGAAUGUUUGUGUACCUGUGCAUUGGCUUAUUUUCUACUGGUUAUGAUUAGUGAUAUUACAAGGGGCUGUUUGGUUUGCUUGCUUAAACAAGCGCUCCGAAGAAUGUAGUCAUUGACCCAAGCUUGUCGGAGCAAACAUUGUAUCUAACUACUCAUUGUGACAUUAAUGUUAUCGCAGAUCUUGUAAACUUUGUAGAGGGGCAUUCCGCUAUAGGGUAAUUAAUUUUGUGAUAUUUUGGUUUAUGCUGUGUUGCUGUUCUUAUGCGACUGGCUUCCGCUCAUCUGUGCAUUGCUGAGUUUAAUAAAACAUCAACGCAACGCACGUUGCAUAAC